AACGAACGCUGGCGGCAGGCCUAAAACAUGCAAGUCGAACGAACCGCAAGGUUAGUGGCGCACGGGUGAGUAACACGUGGGUAUAUGCCUCUCACUACGGAACAACGUCGGGAAACUGACGCUAAUACCGUAUAAUGUCUCCGGACCAAAGAUUUAUCGGUGAAAGAUUAGCCCGCGUCUGAUUAGCUAGUUGGUGAGGUAAUGGCUCACCAAGGCGACGAUCAGUAGCUGGUCUGAGAGGAUGAUCAGCCACACUGGAACUGAGACACGGUCCAGACUCCUACGGGAGGCAGCAGUUAGGAAUAUUGGACAAUGGGGGCAACCCUGAUCCAGCCAUGCCGCGUGAGUGACGAAGGCCUUCGGGUUGUAAAGCUCUUUCGGCUGUGAAGAUAAUGACAGUAGCAGAAGAAGAAGCCCCGGCUAAAUUCGUGCCAGCCGCCGCAGUAA
rnacentral:rRNA from 1 species